rnacentral:rRNA from 1 species
GACGAACGCUGGCGGCGUGCUUAACACAUGCAAGUCGAACGAAGAGCGAUGGAAGCUUGCUUCUAUCAAUCUUAGUGGCGAACGGGUGAGUAACGCGUAAUCAACCUGCCCUUCAGAGGGGGACAACAGUUGGAAACGACUGCUAAUACCGCAUACGAUCUGACCUCGGCAUCGAGGAUAGAUGAAAGGUGGCCUCUACAUGUAAGCUAUCACUGAAGGAGGGGAUUGCGUCUGAUUAGCUAGUUGGAGGGGUAACGGCCCACCAAGGCGAUGAUCAGUAGCCGGUCUGAGGGGAUGAACGGCCACAUUGGGACUGGGACGAGGCCCAGACUACUCCGGGAGGCAGCAGUGGGGAAGCUUCCGCAAUGGACGAAAGUCUGACGGAGCAACGCCGCGUGAGUGAUGACGGCCUUCGGGUUGUAAAGCUCUGUUAAUCGGGACGAAAGGCCUUUUUGCGAAUAGUGAGAAGGAUUGACGGUACCGGAAUAGAAAGCCACGGCUAACUACGUG